GACAGAGGUGCCGAGCGUUAGGCGGAAUCACUGGGCUUAAAGCGUGUGUAGGCGGGUCGUUAAGUGUCUUGUGAAAUCCCACCGCUCAACGGUGGAACUGCUGGGCAUACUGGCGAUCUUGAGCCACCUAGGGGCAGACGGAACAAGCGGUGGAGCGGUGAAAUGCGUAGAUAUCGCUUGGAACGCCGACGGUGAAAACAGUCUGGCUGGGGGUGUGCUGACGCUGAGACACGAAAGCCAGGGGAGCGAACGGG
rnacentral:rRNA from 1 species